CUUUUUGACUCAACAUGACCUCUUCUACUUGCUAAGGGGCACAAGAAGCUAGAAACUAUUCUCUCUUUCCCAGCAGUGUCUGAAUCCAGAGCACUUGAUACAUCAUUAAAACGUAAUGCAGAAGAAGAAAAACACAUUGACUUUGAAAGGAGAUUUGAGCUGGAGUUCCAGCUCAUGGACGAGUGAAGAAUCACCGGAUAUCUCUGUGCCUCAGUUUCCCCUCUGUGAGAUGGGGACAUCAACAACUGUCAUACAACUUCACAAGGUUGUCGUAAAGAUCAAAUAAAAUAAUGUAGAUGAAUACGA